CCCUUAGAUGUUCUGGGCGGCCCGCGCACUACAAUGGCGUGUGCAGCGAGUGCCGAAGUAGAGUUUUCCGAGGUAUUCUUGCAAUGCUCGUUUUGAUGGUGAUAGACCCUUGCAACUGUUGGUUUUGAACGAGGAAUUCCUUGUAAGCAUGGUUUAUCAUCCGACGCUGAAUGCGUCCCUGCCCUUUGUACACACCGCCCGUCGCUCCUACCGAUGAGUCGUCCGGUGAAGUUCGUAGACCUCGUGAUCGCGGAUCACUGGGGGAAGCAAAAUGAACCUCGCGGUUUAGAGGAAGGAGAAGUCGUAACA
rnacentral:rRNA from 1 species